UCCAUUGACAGCUACAGAUGGUAAAUGUCAACUCAAGAAAAGCAAGAUGAAAUCUGUUUAUUCAAAAGAACGCCUGCAUAUAAAUCUGAUGCUCUCCCACCUCCCUUCCCGAGGUGCUAGAAAUGGAGAGAAAGAGGCAAAGGCAUGAUUGCGAUGUCAAUUCAUAAACAGUAUAUCCUGAGAGACUGCAGGGAUGAAAGCACCAAUGCCACUAGAAAAUUAUCCUCCCAGGCAGGGACAAGUCAUUUGCUACACAGUGGAUCGUCACAACAAAACAUUUGGAAGCUGAAAUGGACACACAAAAGGAAAAAGAUACAAACCUGAGGUGUUCAUGCCCUCUUGGCUGUAGACAGGAGAGGAGAACUGUCACUAUUCAGACAGAAGUAGACAGACUCACCAGGACUGAGAAACACUCAGAGGGCAGAGAAAGGCAGGGACGGGUGCCUCGCUUGUGCAUACACAAACACACAUACACACAGCCAGCCAUUUCAUAUGUUCUUGAGCAACAGGUGGCCAAACACUCGAGUGCCUGCAAAUACCACCUGGGAAAUGCCACACAGCUAGAUAUAAUCUAUCUGCUUGGGGACCCAAGGCGUAGCAUAAAAGUAGAGGACUCUUUGAUAUUUAAA